rnacentral:lncRNA from 1 species
ACCGCCAAGGCAGGGGAUAUUUUACUUCCUAUUUCUUACCCAUAACCCCCCAAAAUAUACAAGAUAACCUUUAGCCAUAUAUAGUUCCCUGCAAACAUACCUUGGAAGCAUUUUAAUCUACAUUUUUUUUUUUUAGCUUUAUAGCACCAGACCUGAAUUUACACAGGAGCCCCGUCUGUAAAAGCUGUCAGACAAUCUCAAGAGAUUCUUGGGAAGUGAAGCUCCUCCUAUUUGCAAAGAAAAACUCCUUCCCUUGAAAUUUAGACAUACAACAUCCCUACCUCGCAUCCUUUUGAACCUAUGGUUGCUUGAGAUAAAGUUUUUUGUUUUAAUGUUCAUGUCGUAGAAAUAUUUUUGUGAUUUUAUACUUAAAUUCUACUUAUAUUCAUUGUAACCAGAAACUCUUAACUCUAAUUGUACAUUUUGGGAAGUAUUGAGAUUGUGAGCUAUUAUAAG